AUGACUUUCAUCCUUCUUCGAUCAACGAAACUUGCUGCCGUAUACUUCAAUUGGCUUCUCCAUUGUAGAGCCACUCAUCGUCUCUCUCUCACGGUGGCGUCAAAUUUCCAUCAGAUUCAAACGGCUGUGAAGCUUCGACGAAACACGAUUCAGAGACUCAAGCUAUUCUUCAAUCUUGACGAAAACGCAGAGGAAUCUGAAAAAAAAAUGGUUCAGUUAUGCAUACUUAUCGUUCUUGAUUAUGCUUCCUCUCUUUUCUUCCGAUUUCAUGUGUUCUGA